UACGGAGGAUGCAAGCGUUAUCCGGAAUGAUUGGGCGUAAAGCGUCCGCAGGUGGCUAUGUAAGUCUGCUGUUAAAGAGUGAGGCUCAACCUCAUAAGAGCAGUGGAAACUACAUGGCUAGAGUGCGUUCGGGGCAGAGGGAAUUCCUGGUGUAGCGGUGAAAUGCGUAGAGAUCAGGAAGAACACCGGUGGCGAAGGCGGCAUCCUGGACCGGUAUUGACGCUGAGGCGCGAAAGCUAGGGGAGCAAACGGG
rnacentral:rRNA from 1 species